rnacentral:rRNA from 1 species
UCUUAGUGAUCCGGUGGUUCUGUAUGGAAGGGCCAUCGCUCAACGGAUAAAAGGUACUCCGGGGAUAACAGGCUGAUACCGCCCAAGAGUUCAUAUCGACGGCGGUGUUUGGCACCUCGAUGUCGGCUCAUCACAUCCUGGGGCUGUAGUCGGUCCCAAGGGUAUGGCUGUUCGCCAUUUAAAGUGGUACGCGAGCUGGGUUCAGAACGUCGUGAGACAGUUCGNUCCCUAUCUGCCAUGGGCGUUGGAGAUUUGAGAGGGGCUGCUCCUAGUACGAGAGGACCGGAGUGGACGAACCUCUGGUGUUCCGGUUGUCACGCCAGUGGCACUGCCGGGUAGCUAUGUUCGGAAGCGAUAACCGCUGAAAGCAUCUAAGCGGGAAGCGCGCCUCAAGAUGAGAUCUCCCGGGAGCUUGACUCCCCUAAAGGAACCAUCAAGACCAGGUGGUUGAUAGGCAGGGUGUGUAAGCGCAGCAAUGCGUUGAGCUAACCUGUACUAAUGAUCCGUGUGGCUUGACCAU